UGACAUGGAUGCACUUUACCCUCUAUGCCUGUUGAGUUCUUUACAGAUGUCGUGACUUCAGUGGAUCUGACCACAGCAUUAGCACUGCACCUACAGGAUAGACACCACAGACGGCUCUCAGUUACUCCACAACGCUCUGAGCUUUUCAGUGUGCCACAGGGGUUUUGUGAUGGACAAGCUGUUGAUCGUCUCCGCUAUCUUGGCUGCACUUGCCAUCAGUGUGGAGGCUCACCAGUGGGUGCACGAUGUCUUGCACAUGUAUAGUGAGACCAUGGAUCAGAUCAGCAAAGCAGUUGGAGAAAAGUACCUCAGAACUGCAUACGAACUGGUAACUGAAACGUCGGUCGUUGUGAUAACUGCAACUGCCAACCUUACAGAGGAAAUCAUCAAAACUCUCUUCCCACGUGAUGCAAUUCAAUAAGCAGGUCAUUUAUUGUUGGAUUUUAAAACAUUGAAUAAAACAUGUCAAUACACAAACACGUACAAUAAAUACACAUUUUUUUCUAUAUGUAACUAUCAUUUCAGAACUACUUCAUUGGUUGUGUCAUGACACUUUUGUUGUGGAAUGAACAUUUUGGAUUCCUCUUCUGCUACUGUGAAGACAAAUGCAUGACGUCCCCUUUUUGGCUUGGUAUAUCACAAUGAUUCCGUAACCUGUUAGUCACAUCGAAUGACAUGCCUUAUCAAUUGUACGCAUACAAUUGUAAACAUAUCCACAUUAAACUGCUAUUAAGAAAUCA